GACGUAGGGCGCGAGCGUUGUCCGGAUUUAUUGGGCGUAAAGAGCUCGUAGGCGGCUUGUCGCGUCGGCUGUGAAAACCCGGGGCUCAACCCCGGGCCUGCAGUCGAUACGGGCAGGCUAGAGUCCGGCAGGGGAGACUGGAAUUCCUGGUGUAGCGGUGAAAUGCGCAGAUAUCAGGAGGAACACCGGUGGCGAAGGCGGGUCUCUGGGCCGGAACUGACGCUAAGGAGCGAAAGCGUGGGGAGCGAACAGG
rnacentral:rRNA from 1 species